AUUAAUGCACCAGAUAAAUCCUAACAGGAACUAGAAAAAGAAAAGAACCGUUGGAGCCCAAAAUAAUGCCUCGCAACGGCUACUUUUUCAUCACUUCAAAAACCCAACGCUCAUAUGCCCAGAGCCACACGACAAAUGUCUAUUCACCGUCACUUCAUUUUUUUUUUGAAUUUCAAAAUUUCUAACGUCUAGAUUCACCCAUGAUAUACCAAAGCAUUAUGCAGUUGUUCAGUUCUUAUUUCAAUCGAUCAUCAUGAAUCUGGGUUGCGUUUCUUUGGAAGACAAGCCCUGAAAUGAAUCAUCUCCUGCCUUCGGAGAACCUGGAAAACAAUUCGAGCGAGGCAGUGACGGCGACUCUAAAGUUUGGCAAGGUACGUUUUGAUCUGAAUCUUUGAUUAUUUGUCUGUUUGGAUGUUGAGAAAAUGGAGGGAAGGACUUAGUUAUGGUUGUGGGAGAAGGACGAGAUGGGAGAGUUUAGUGUUAUAAAGUGGUUUAGAUCAAAGCAAUUGUGGUAAUCGAAGGCUCCGGUUCGAUCUUGAAAAAGGAACAAAUGGGAAGGAAAAUGAUAAAAGUAGCUUGAGAAAGAAUCCGUUUUAAUGCAUUUUGACGUUUUUCUUUCCAUUCUGAAUUUCAAAUACAGCUAAUUUGCCUUUUUUCUUUCUUGGAUUAUCCAUUUUCUCGUUGAUACAGUGAUGAUUUAGGGUAUCUAUUCAUCUAUUGUUUUAUUCUCUUGAAUUUUGCGAUUUUAUUGGUUGAUUCAAACUUUCGGUUUUUGAAUCCAGUAUAUUUCUUGUAAUGACCGGGUAUUUUAUGUCACGUUAGCAUUUCUAUUUUGAAAAAACUUAUUUUGAAUUAUGGUUGAAAAGUAAAAAAGAAAAGUGCCUGAAGAACACUUGUUAGUUUUGAAUUGGUGAAAUUCGGUUUAUUGUGUUGGUCAAUUAGGUGAGUUGAAAAUUUUAUGUCAUGUUAGGGUGGAAAUUUCUUAGGAUUUUAGUAAUUGGGAAUUUUCGGAAAAGAAAAAGGAAAAUGAAAAUGAAAAGUUAAUUAAUUAAAAUUAAUUAAAAUAAAAAUAAUAAUAAUAAUAAUUAAUUAAAUUAAAUUCCUUAUUAAUAAAAAUUAAGAAAAAUAUUAAAUUGUGUGUUUUAUAAAAAUAAAGAGAAAAGAAAAAAAAAAUGAAAAGGGAGUAAUUUGGGCUUGGAUGAAAUAGGUUUAAAAGAAAAAUGGGAGUUAGUUAUUGGGUUUAUUUUGAACUUGGAUUGGGCUUGAGUGUGCUGAUUAAAAGGAAAAGAAAUGGGCUUGAGUGAACUGCUUAAAAGGAAACGAAAUGGGCUUGAGUGGGCUGUUUGGUAAGUGGAUUAAAAUGAAAAGAAAUGGGCUUAAGUGGAAAAGAAGGGAACAGUAGCAAAUCUGGGAGAAAGGGGGCGGCGGCACUGUAGAAAAUCUCACCUCGUCGGAGCUUUGAUUGGCCGUUUGGGUGGUCAAACGACCUCCGUUUCAGCUCAGAUUUGGAGGGGGUGUUCUACUCGACGAGGGGAACAAUCCUACCAUGGCCAAUCGUAUUUUUANNNNNNNNNNNNNNNNNNNNNNNNNNNNNNNNNNNNNNNNNNNNNNNNNNNNNNNNNNNNNNNNNNNNNNNNNNNNNNNNNNNNNNNNNNNNNNNNNNNNCAAAAUCAUUCUUGAUCUGAGUGAGUCUUAGCUUUUUCAAUCGACUUCCGUUUCAGGUCAGAUCUUUAGGGGGAGUUGUACUCGACGAGGGGAACAAUCCUACGAUGGCCAAUGGUAUUUUUAGCAGCUGAAUACCUAAAUUUGUGGUAGGGGACUCUAACCCUUAACCCUAACCCAAACGGCCGGUCAAAGCUCCGGCGAGGUGAAAUUUUCUACAGUGCCGCCGCCCCCUUUCUCCCAGAUUUGCUACUGUUCCCUUCUUUUCCACUUAAGCCCAUUUCUUUUCAUUUUAGUCCACUUACCAAACAACCCACUCAAGUCCAUUUCGUUUCCUUUUAAACAGCCCACUCAAGUCCAUUUCUUUUCCUUUUAAUCAGCCCACUCAAGCCCAACCCAAGUUCAAAAUAAACCCAAUAACUAACUCCCAUUUUUCUUUUAAAACCCUAUUUCAUCCAAGCCCAAAUUACCCCCUUUUCAUUUUUUUUUCUUUUCUCUUUAUUUUUAUAAAACACACAAUUUAAUAUUUUUCUCAAUUUUUAUUAAUAAGGAAUUUAAUUUAAUUAAUUAUUAUUAUUAUUACUUUAAUUUAAAUUAAUUUUAAUUAAUUAACUUUUCAUUUUCGUUUUCGUUUUUCUUUUCCGAAAAUUCCCAAUUACUAAAAUCCUAAGAAAUUUCCACCUUAAGGCUGACAUGGCAUAAAAUUUUCAACUCACCUAAUUGACCACACAAUAAACCGAAUUUCACCAAUCCAAAACUAACAAGUGUUCUUCAAGCACUUUUCUUUUUGACUUUUCAACCAUAAUUCAAAAUAAGACUUUUCAAAAUAGAAAUGCUAACGUGGCAUAAAAUACCCGGUCAUUACAUUCUACCCCCCUAAAAGAAAUUUCGUCCCGAAAUUUAAACUAACUUACCUUAAAAUUCGUAGAAGAGUUGCGAAUAAUGUCGUCUCAUUUCUUCCUCAGGUUCCCAAGUAGCUUCUUCUAUCCCAUGGUGUUGCCACCACACUUUGACUGCAGGAAUCACCUUGUUCCUGAACCUAUGCUCUCCAAUUUCCAGAAUUCGUAAAGGUUCCUCCACAUAAGAAGUAUUUUCACUAAUCUGAACAUCUUGCAAGUCCACUACCCAAGUUGGAUCUGGAGUACACUUCCUUAGCAUUGACACAUGGAAAACAUCAUGCACAAGGGACAACUGUUGAGGCAAAAUUAACUUGUAUGCCACUGGGCCAACUCUCUUAUCAAUCUGAAAUGGUCCCACAAACCUAGGGGCUAACUUCCCCUUCUUCCCAAAUCGAAAUAUGCCUCUUCGAGGGGACACUUUUACAAACACCCAAUCCCCUUCCUCAAACUCCAAGGGCCUUCUCCUUUUGUCUGCAUAACUUUUCUGUCUAUCUUGGGCAGUCUUAAGUUUUUCCUUGAUGAGUUGUAUCUUCUCUGUAGUCUCUUGGACAAUCUCAGGUCCCAACAAACGACUCUCACCCAUUUCUAUCCAACAUAAGGGCGAUCUACAAGGUCUCCCAUAGAGUGCUUCAUAAGGUGCCAUGCCAAUACUAGAUUGGUAACUGUUGUUAUAAGCAAACUCUGCCAAAGGUAAGUAAUCUGUCCAAUUUCCUCCAAAAUCCAAAACACAAGCCCUUAACAUGUCUUUUAAGAUCUGGAUCACUCUCUCUAAUUGACCAUCUGUCUAAGGGUGAAAAGCGGUGCUAAAAUUCAGUUGGGUGCCCAAAGCCCUUUGUAAACUCUGCCAAAACUGAGAAGUAAACUUAGGGUCCCUGUCAGACACUAUAAAUACAGGUAUCCCAUGCAAUCUCACAAAAUCUCCUGUAUAUACAACUUAGCCAAAGAGUUCAUGGAAUUAGUAGUUUUCAUGGCUAGAAAAUGAGCUGACUUAGUAAGACGAUCCACAAUCACCCAAACUCCAUUUUUCUUGCUUCUAGUUCUUGGCAACCCUAUCACAAAGUCCAUAGUGAUAUUAUCCCACUUCCACUCAGGUAUAGGUAAAAGUUGCAACAACCCUGCAGGCCUCUGGUGUUCAACCUUCACUUGCUGACAAAUAUGACAGUUAGCUACAAACUGAAUAAUAUCUCUCUUCAUUCCACUCCACCAAAACUGUCUCUUUAAGUCUUGAUACAUCUUGGUAUUCCCAGGGUGAAUGGUAUACUUCGCCCUAUGAGCAUUUGCUAGAAGUUCAUUUCUCAACUUCACAUCUUUUGGCACACACAAUCUCCCUUUGAACCUCACACUCCCAUCUUCAUACAUAGACCAAUUUUCAUCUAUUUCACCUGCUACCAAUUGGGCUUUAACCUUUUCUAAAAACUCAUCAUGAACUUAGGCCUCCACUAUUCUCUGGAUAACCAUUGGUCUAGCUGAUAUACUGUACAAGCAUGGACAAUGCCCUUCCAAACCAUGACAUAAUUCAAAAUCCUCAAUAACUGCAUGCAUCUCAAACUCUCUCAACUCCAAGCUAGACAACUGGCCAACACUCUUCCUACUCAAGGCAUCUGCUACAACAUUCGCCUUUCUUGGAUGAUAAUGAAGAACAAAAUCAUAAUCUUCCAAUGUCUCCAUCCAUCUCCUUUGCCUAGAGUUCAGAUCCUUUUGAGUGAAAAUAUAUUUCAAACUCUUGUGAUCAGAGUACACCUCAAACUUCUUUCCAUACAAAUAGUGUCUCCAAGUCUUAAGGGCAAACACCACUGCUGCAAGCUCCAAAUCAUGUGUUGGAUAAUUCCGCUCAUGCUGCUUUAACUGUCUUGAGGCAUAAGCUACCACAUUGCCUUGCUGUAUUAGCACACACCCUUGCCCCACUGUGGAAGCAUCACAAUAAAUUGUAAACAACUCUCCACUAAUAGGAGUAGUUAACACUGGAGCAGUGGUCAAUUUCCGCUUCAACUCCUGGAAAGCAUUCUCACACUCCUCAUUCCAAUCAAACUUCACCCAUUUUCUAGUCAAUCGAGUCAUUGGUGCUGCAAUUCUAGAGAAGUCUUCCACAAACCUCCUAUAAUAUCCAGCCAACCCCAAGAAACUUCUAACCUCAAAUACAUUAGUAGGUCUUUGCCACUCCUGUACAGCUUCCACCUUGGAAUGGUCUACUGUUAUUCCUGCCUCAGAAACCACAUGGCCUAAGAAAUUCACUUCAGUAAGCCAAAACUCACUUUUGUCCAACUUCCCAUACAACUGAUGCCUUCUCAAAGUUCUAAGGGUGGUCACCAAAUGCUGUUUAUGCUCCUCCAAACUCCUGGAGUAGAUCAAGAUGUCAUCCACAAAGACAAUCACAAACUGAUCCAAGUAAGCACGAAAUACUCUGUUCAUUAAAUCCAUGAAAGCAGUAGGGUCAUUAGUUAACCCAAAAGGCAUGACUAAGAACUCAUAAUGCCCAUAUCUCGUUCUAAAAGCGGUUUUAGAAACAUCUUCUUCCCUAACCCUCAAUUGAUGAUACCCAGUUCUCAAGUUAAUCUUACCAAAGACAAUCACAAACUGAUCCAAGUAAGCACGAAAUACUCUGUUCAUUAAAUCCAUGAAAGCAGUAGGGUCAUUAGUUAACCCAAAAGGCAUGACUAAGAACUCAUAAUGCCCAUAUCUCGUUCUAAAAGCGGUUUUAGAAACAUCUUCUUCCCUAACCCUCAAUUGAUGAUACCCAGUUCUCAAGUUAAUCUUACCAAAGACAAUCACAAACUGAUCCAAGUAAGCACGAAAUACUCUGUUCAUUAAAUCCAUGAAAGCAGUAGGGUCAUUAGUUAACCCAAAAGGCAUGACUAAGAACUCAUAAUGCCCAUAUCUCGUUCUAAAAGCGGUUUUAGAAACAUCUUCUUCCCUAACCCUCAAUUGAUGAUACCCAGUUCUCAAGUCAAUCUUAUUAAAAUACUUUGCACCUUUCAACUGAUCAAACAAGUCAUCUAUCCUUGGAAGAGGAUACUUGUUCUUCACAGUAACUCUAUUCAACUUCCUAUAGUCAAUACAUAACCUUAGUGUGUCAUCCUUCUUCUUCACAAACAACACUGGGGCUCCCCAUGGCGAUGUACUUGGACGAAUAAAACCCUUACCCAACAAUUCAUCUAACUGAGUUUUCAAUUCUUUCAACUCAAGAAGGGCCAUCCUAUAAGGGGAUACUGAAAUAGGAUCAGUUCCUGGGUAUACUUCAAUAGAGAAAUCAAACUCUCUAUGCGGUGGUAAACCUGGUAACUCAUCUGGGAAUACAUCCUGAAACUUCCUCAUUACUAGAAUUUCUGUAAUGUCCUUUUGGGCUUUCUCCUUACCAUGAAGGCAAGCUAGGAAAUUUAUUGAUCCCUUCCUCAACACAUACUGAUAGCACGGAUCGGACUGCGAAAAAGGCAAACUAACACACUUCCCUCCAACAAAGCAAACCUCAAAUCCCUCUGGCAGACAAAAUAUUAUCCUACGACGAUGACAAUUAAUAACCGCUCUAUACACUGUCAACCAAUCCAUUCCCAAGAUAACAUCAUACCUAGUCAUAUCCAAAAUCCUCAAAUCCACAUUUAGUGCUCUAUCUGCCAAGGUAAUAACACACCCCUUGCAUAUUCUAUCAACUCUAGAAUUCGUACCCAUAGGGGACUCAAUAAGUAACAAAUUUUCUACCCUUUCUGUUUUCAACCCCAAUGCAUUAGCACAAGAUGCAGAAAUGAAAGAAUGAGUUGCACCAGUAUCAAACAAAACACGCACCCAAGUACUCUAUACCAAAAUCAUACUUUCCACCAAAAGGACGUCCUCUUCUGGCUCUAUUGGGGUCAAGACAAAAACUCUUCCUACUGUCUGCUUUCCCCUACCUCUAGCAUUUGACCCUUGAGAAGAACGAGUCUGACUACUCAUAGUAGUUGUCCUGGUUCCCUGCGCUGUUGGGGGGUAAUUGUGGCAUCUGGUAGUAAGGCAAUUGAAACUGAGGGGGCUGGAAAUACACUACUAGCUAUUGCUGAGAACUUCCCUGAGAUUGAGGUCGAGUUUGCUGUACACCCCGCAAUGGGCAAGCCCUCCAUAAGUGGUCUCCCGCUCCACAACCAUAACAUACUCUAUUAGCAGCCACAACCAAAAGUUACCCCGGGAAGACUCCGAAUGGGGAGUGUAUUUGGGNNNNNNNNNNNNNNNNNNNNNNNNNNNNNNNNNNNNNNNNNNNNNNNNNNNNNNNNNNNNNNNNNNNNNNNNNNNNNNNNNNNNNNNNNNNNNNNNNNNNGUAUCCUUCGGUGAAAGCCCGAGAACAAUAGUGCAUUGUAUGACUGUGUGUCACACGUUCAUGUGCAUUCAUGUAAUUGUUGAAUAUUGUGAAAUUGUGUAUAAAAUUAUAUAUUAAACUAUGUGGUUUGAUUGAUACUGUUGAAUUAUUCCUGUGGUGUUGAAGUGUUCUUUUCGUAUUCUUUGAAACUUAGUAAUCCCCUUAACCCCUUGGGUGUUAGGCAUCGUACUGAGCAAUGUGGAAAUGCUCACCCCUUCCUUAUUACACAUUUUUAGAUGCAGAUAUCUCUCUAGAGGAUCCACAGGUGGGGCAGUGAGGACUUCAAGAUGCUCCUGGAGCGGCCUAGUGGAGCGUGACAUUUUCUGUUAUUGUGUUUUUGUUUGGAUUUUGGGAUUUUUUUUUAGUAAUUAUGACUCAUGGAUUUGUUAUGAAGCUUUAUUUUGAUUAAAGUUGUUAAUUGUGAACUUUUAUUUUGGACUAUAAUAAAUAUUUAUUUAAUCUUGUUGUUUUGAGUAGUUUUGGGAUAUUGUGGUUU
rnacentral:lncRNA from 1 species